GAUGAACGCUGGCGGCGUGCCUAAUACAUGCAAGUCGAGCGAACGGACGAGAAGCUUGCUUCUCUGAUGUUAGCGGCGGACGGGUGAGUAACACGUGGAUAACCUACCUAUAAGACUGGGAUAACUUCGGGAAACCGGAGCUAAUACCGGAUAAUAUUUUGAACCGCAUGGUUCAAAAGUGAAAGACGGUCUUGCUGUCACUUAUAGAUGGAUCCGCGCUGCAUUAGCUAGUUGGUAAGGUAACGGCUUACCAAGGCAACGAUGCAUAGCCGACCUGAGAGGGUGAUCGGCCACACUGGAACUGAGACACGGUCCAGACUCCUACGGGAGGCAGCAGUAGGGAAUCUUCCGCAAUGGGCGAAAGCCUGACGGAGCAACGCCGCGUGAGUGAUGAAGGUCUUCGGAUCGUAAAACUCUGUUAUUAGGGAAGAACAGAUGUGUAAGUAACUGUGCACAUCUUGACGGUACCUAAUCAGAAAGCAACGGCUAACUACGUG
rnacentral:rRNA from 1 species